GUUUCUGGCUCAGGGUGAACGCUAGCUACAGGCUUAACACAUGCAAGUCGAGGGGCAGCAUCAUCAAAGCUUGCUUUGAUGGAUGGCGACCGGCGCACGGGUGAGUAACACGUAUCCAACCUGCCGACAACACUGGGAUAGCCUUUCGAAAGAAAGAUUAAUACCGGAUGGCAUAAUUAUUCCGCAUGGGAUAAUUAUUAAAGAAUUUCGGUUGUCGAUGGGGAUGCGUUCCAUUAGGCAG
rnacentral:rRNA from 1 species